GCUGAGCAGGCUGUCUCAGCUAAGAAAGAUGGACUAACUGCCAGAGCCACUGACAGGCAGUCGAUAGUGCAGCAAUUAAUGUCAUAAAUAAUUCCAGAACCAAUUACAUCAAAAUGGACUCAGAGCUUUAAAAAGUCUCCCUCCUUCACCCCACAGGACAAGGCUGUUAAAGUCGAUCUUCCCUGCCAGAGCAGUGGGGUGAAUGUAUAAUCUUCUAACUUGGCUGUUGCUGGAGAACUCCAGCUACACCUAAAUGAUUAAGAGCCAAGUUUUCGAAAAUGUCAUGGACAAUGACAGCAGAGUGCCCCAAACAAUGGCAUUUGGAAAUGAAGACAUUUGUGAAAUAAAUGGAUUUGUCUUAUUA